CUCUCGGUUUACUCUCGUUCUACACUUUCUAGCAUCUACACUUUCUUCUACACUUGUUAUGGCAUCCAAAUCAACAUCAUCCUUUGGUUUCGGUUCUUCCUCCACCACAUUCGUUACUAUUCCACAUAAUCAGAACAAGGAAAUUUGAUGCAACUGGGAUUCAAUGGAAAUGAAUGCUCGUUGCAAGUUUUGUGGCUCUUUGUUAAAAAGUAAUUCAAACACUACUUUGAAUAAGCAUAGCAAAUGUUGUAAGGCAUAAAAAGAAACUUCAACAUCGGAUGCCAGACAACCUAAAUUGGGCGGUGAUUGGUACUAUAUUCCGUUACGACCCCGAUGCGUUUCGGGAUAGAAUGACGAAGUUGGUGAUUCAAGAAGCUUUAUCGUUCAACCACUUAGAAAACACUCAGUUGACAUCAAUGAUUAGAGAGGCACUUCAACCUCGUUACAUUCACGAAUGAAGCUCAAGUACUAGUAGUAGCUCGAUACGGCACCCGACUAUGACUAUGUUGAAUGUUGUCUGGGAUGUGUCGGCAAAACGUCAAAGGGUGACACCCCAACAAGUGAUCUUGGUAGGUACAGUGCAUCAGAUUUCGUAUGGACUAUGUCUACCGAAGAUUAUCACAACUUGGAAAUUUUGGCUUGGUGGAAAGGGAAGGAAACCGAAUUUCCGAUUCUAUCCUCCAUGGCCCGUGAUUUACUAACUGUCCAAGCUUCUAUGGUAGUUUCAUAAUUUGUUUUUUUUCUCUUAGUGGCAGGGUAUUGGCGCUACGAAGAACAAGACUCACUCCCGAAUCAAUGGCGAUACUCAUUUGCCUAAAAGAUCAUUUGGAUGCAGUGGAUCAUAUAUAAGACAAGACAACCCUUGAACAAUGGUGAAAAUGUUUUCAUGUGUUUGUGAAGUGUUAAUAAUAAAUAGAAAACGAUUUUUUUGUUUUA